UACUAGAGUAGCACUCGCAUAUCAAUAAGCGGAGGAAAAGAAACUAACAAGGAUUCCCCUAGUAACGGCGAGUGAAGCGGGAAGAGCUCAAAUUUGAAAUCUUAAAGGGUUUCCCUUUACGAAUUGUAGUUUAAAGAAGUGUUUUCUGUUGAGGUUUUGGUAAAAGUUCUUUGGAAUAGGACAUCAUAGAGGGUGAGAAUCCCGUAUUUGACCUUUACUUUCAACUUUGUGAUACACUUUCAAAGAGUCGGAUUGUUUGGGAAUGCAGUCCAAAAUGGGUGGUAAAUUUCAUCUAAAGCUAAAUAUUGGCGAGAGACCGAUAGCGAACAAGUACCGUGAGGGAAAGAUGAAAAGAACUUUGAAAAGAGAGUUAAACAGUACGUGAAAUUGUCAAAAGGGAAGCGUUUGACACCAGUGUUGUUUUUCUGAAAAUCAAUUAAAGAACUGUUUAUGCUAAGCUGUUUAGACUUUAUCAGCUAUCUGUUUAGUUUUAGGCUUUUCUUUAAUGCACUUUUCAGUUAACAAGUCAACAUCAAUUUCUUUUGCUGUAAAAAAGCUUGAGGAAGGUGGCUUGAGAUUCGUCUUAAGUGUUUAUAGCCUCUUGCCUAUGCAGUCGGAGAGAUUGAGGUCUGCAGCGUAGAUCCUUCGGGGCUAAAUGCAUUUGUGCUAAGUUAUAGCAUUUUAUAGACAACUUGUUGACUAUGAUUUGUCUUGUAGCUUACUCGCUUAUGUUAUUUUACCUACGCUUAGGAUGUUGAGCGCAUGUCUCUCUCU
rnacentral:rRNA from 1 species